rnacentral:rRNA from 1 species
CGGGCAGGUGGUCUGUUAAGUCGUUUGUGAAAAUCCGGGGCUCAACCCCGCGAAAUGCAUACGAUACUGGCAGACUGGAGACUGGUAGAGGCUAGCGGAAUUCCUGGUGUAGCGGUGGAAUGCGUAGAUAUCAGGAAGAACACCUGUGGCGAAGGCGGCUAGCUGGGCCAGAUCUGACACUCAUCCGCGAAAGCGUGGGGAGCAAACAGGAUUAGAUACCCUGGUAGUCCACGCUGUAAACGAUGGGCACUAGGUGCCGGGUCUCUAGACGGAUUCGGUGCCGCAGUUAACGCAUUAAGUGCCCCGCCUGGGGAGUACGGUCGCAAGGCUGAA